rnacentral:rRNA from 1 species
ACAGUCACACAUUAGAUACCCGCGUAGUCCCAGCCGUAAACGAUGCGCGUUAGGUGUAUCGAUGACCACGUGUCACUGAGGUGCCGAAGGGAAACCGUGAAACGCACCGCCUGGGGAGUACGGUCGCAAGGCUGAAACUUAAAGGAAUUGGCGGGGAGCACCACAACGGGUGGAGCCUGCGGUUUAAUCGGACUCAACGCCGGGAAUCUCACCGGAUAAGACAGCUGAAUGAUAGUCGGGAUGAAGACUCUACUUGACUAGCUG